UUUUUUUUUGCAUCUGAAUGGUGCCAAAUUUUUCCAGUGCUAAUUGCAUCUUCUGUGAUUCUAAGUGUGCUUCUAAUUUAGGUUUGUAACUUCUUAGACCAGGAGCUGCCAAAGAACAACACAAGCUUUGCAUAUAAUUACUGUCAAUUUUACUGUGCUCUGACACACUGAAUAGAGUAGGGCAGAAAGAAAUAAACUUCUGCCAUGACAAAAGGUCUGUUGGGAGUAUAUCCAUGAAAUUUUAAUUUGAACGUGAUGCAUGGUAGAUAUUUGAAGAUUUUAAAAUAUCUUUGCUCAUAAAUGUCACAAGACUUCUAUGAUCCUACUUUAAUUAUGUCUUUUAUUACAAUUGUUAUAAAUCUGUGCCACUGCAGAAAGUGUGCUGGCCUAAAUGUGUUGCCUUUUUUCAGAUCAGGCAUCUGCAAUAGGCCACAGUUGCAAUGAACAUCUCCGCUUAAGCAAAGCAUAUAUGUUUUGUGCAUUAAGUAAAGUCUUGCAGUCUUAGCUGCAUUGCUAUUCUGAGGACUUCCUUUUGCCACUAAUGGACAUCAGAAAGAAUAAAAGAAAUAAAAAAAAAAGUAGCAAAGGGAGUACUUUUUUUGGUCUGUAAGGCUUGAAGUGAAGAGGGGUGAAGGUGGAAAGACAGUGACAUUCUUUAUUUGUCUUAUUUACAGAAUAAAAAUAAAGUGGUCUUCAAAGGUAGACUUGCUGCUUGUUCUCGGUAUAGUCACUCAUCCUUUUCCUUAUGCACUUAGGUCAGCAGAAAAUAGCAUUGAUAUUUAUGUACCUGGCAUAAAGGAAGUUAUUUUUAUGUCUGACAAAUAUCAUGACUCUAUUGAAAUGACGGCGGCACGGCGGAUGUUUGAUUUAGCUGGUAUUGUGUACAGGGAAUUCAAGCCAAAAUGUACCAAGAUCAUCAUCGACUUUGAUUCAAUUAACAGCAGACCAAGUCAAAAACUUCUGUGAAUUAAGUCCCAUUAUAUCUCUAGAAGACUGUGAUUAUCCUUCUCUAAAAAGCUGCUAAUGCCUUUCAUGUUGAAGUUACUUGCAACUUUUUAAUGGUUUCUAUAGUAAAACAGACUUCUAAGAAAUGUAAGGCAUAAAAUGUUCCCCUCACUUCAUCUUGUCAUGUGGAAUCUAAAUCAACUUAAAAUUUUUAAUGCCUUUAUCAAAUCUGCUUUAAAAGUCUAGAGACAUGUAGAUGAGACAAUAUAAUGCAUGUACAGAAAACUGUUCUGGUUCUUGCUGCAUUCAUCACCACAUGCUCUGAUUGGUUGUCAGCACUGAUUUAGACUCAGUUAAACAGCAGUUCUUAUUGUAACCAGUAGCACAGUCAAAUAUGCUAAUAUAUGUUGAUCUCUCUAUUGGAUGUGUGGAUCUAAAUAGCUGAUCCUAAUAAAUGACAAAAUGUGUUAUCCAUAUAAAUACUAAUCUUCUAACUUGCAUAACACUAGUAUUUUAAAAGGUUAUACAGAUUAAAGUAUAUAUAGUAUUUUACAUGUGUUACCCAACAAAAGGAAGUUGAUUUUUCUAUUAACUGCUAUCUAACACUGUUACACUUGUGCAGUGGUGAGGCAGGAAGUUGUUCUGAGAAUGGUCAAUGGUGGAGCAAGCUUUAGAGACCUUUCAAUUUUUU